rnacentral:rRNA from 1 species
UACGUAGGGUGCGAGCGUUAAUCGGAAUUACUGGGCGUAAAGCGUGCGUAGGCGGUUAUGCAAGACAGAUGUGAAAUCCCCGGGCUCAACCUGGGAACUGCAUUUGUGACUGCAUGGCUAGAGUGCGGCAGAGGGGGAUGGAAUUCCGCGUGUAGCAGUGAAAUGCGUAGAUAUGCGGAGGAACACCGAUGGCGAAGGCAAUCCCCUGGGCCUGCACUGACGCUCAUGCACGAAAGCGUGGGGAGCAAACAGG